rnacentral:rRNA from 1 species
GACGAACGCUGGCGGCGUGCUUAACACAUGCAAGUCGAACGGAAAGGCCCUGCUUUUGUGGGGUGCUCGAGUGGCGAACGGGUGAGUAACACGUGAGUAACCUGCCCUUGACUUUGGGAUAACUUCAGGAAACUGGGGCUAAUACCGGAUAGGAGCUCCUGCUGCAUGGUGGGGGUUGGAAAGUUUCGGCGGUUGGGGAUGGACUCGCGGGUUAUCAGCUUGUUGGUGGGGUAGUGGCUUACCAAGGCUUUGACGGGUAGCCGGCCUGAGAGGGUGACCGGGCACAUUGGGACUGCGAUACGGACCAGACUCCUACGGGCGGCAGCAGUGGGGAAUAUUGCACAAUGGGCGGAAGCCUGAUGCAGCAACGCCGCGUGCGGGAUGACGGCCUUCGGGUUGUAAACCGCUUUCGCCUGUGCCGAAGAGUGAGUGACGGUAAUGGGUAAAGAAGCACCGGCUAACUACGUG